rnacentral:tRNA from 1 species
UCCCUGGUGGUCUAGUGGUUAGGACUUGGCGCUUUCACUGCUGUGGCCUGGGUUCCAUCCCAGGUCUGGGAA